CAGUAGCCGCGGGAAUACGAAGGGGGCUAGCGUUGCUCGGAAUGACUGGGCGUAAAGGGCGCGUAGGCGGAUUGUUUAGUUAGGCGUGAAAUUCCUGGGCUUAACCUGGGGACUGCGCUUAAUACAGGCAGUCUAGAGUGAGGAAGAGGGUUGUGGAAUUCCCAGUGUAGAGGUGAAAUUCGUAGAUAUUGGGAAGAACACCAGUGGCGAAGGCGGCUCACUGGACCGACACUGACGCUGAGGCGCGAAAGCGUGGGGAGCAAACAGGACUAGAGACCCGAGUAGUCCCUGUCUCUUAUAC
rnacentral:rRNA from 1 species